GAUGAACGCUGGCGGCGUGCCUAAUACAUGCAAGUCGAGCGAACAGACGAGGAGCUUGCUCCUUUGACGUUAGCGGCGGACGGGUGAGUAACACGUAGGUAACCUACCUAUAAGACUGGGAUAACUUCGGGAAACCGGAGCUAAUACCGGAUAAUAUUUCGAACCGCAUGGUUCGAUAGUGAAAGAUGGCUUUGCUAUCACUUAUAGCUGGACCUGCGCCGUAUUAGCUAGUUGGUAAGGUAACGGCUUACCAAGGCAACGAUUCGUAGCCGACCUGAGAGGGUGAUAGGCCACACUGGAACUGGGACAGGGUCCAGACUCCUACGGGAGGCAGCAGUAGGGAAUGUUCCGCAAUGGGCGAAAGCCUGACGGAGCAACGCCGCGUGAGUGAUGAAGGUCUUCGGAUCGUAAAACUCUGUUAUUAGGGAAGAACAAACGUGUAAGUAACUGUGCACGUCGUGACGGUACCUAAUCAGAAAGCCACGGCUAACUACGUG
rnacentral:rRNA from 1 species